rnacentral:rRNA from 1 species
GUAGGGAAUAUUGCACAAUGGGCGAAAGCCUGAUGCAGCAACGCCGCGUGAGUGAAGAAGGCCCUUGGGUCGUAAAGCUCUUUAGCCUGGAAAGAAGUGCCCAUGAGUAAACAAUUCAUGGGUGUGACGGUACCAGGAGAAUAAGGUCCGGCUAAUUUCGUGCCAGCAGCCGCGGUAAUACGAAAGGACCAAGCGUUACUCGGAAUCACUGGGCGUAAAGCGCGCGUAGGCGGCCUUGUAUGUCGAUUGUGAAAGCCCCGGGCUCAACCUGGGAACUGCAGUCGAAACUGCAAGGCUUGAAUGUUGGAGAGGUUGGGGGAAUACCUAGUGGAGAAGUGAAAUUCGUAGAGAUUAGGUGGAACACCAGAGGCGAAGGCGCCUGACUGGCCAAACAUUGACGCUGAGGCGCGAAAGCGUGGGUAGCAAACAGGAUUAGAAACCCGAGUAGUCC